UACGGGGGGCGCAAGCGUUGUUCGGAUUUACUGGGCGUAAAGGGCGCGUAGGCGGCCUCCGCAAGUCAGUUGUGAAAUCUCCGAGCUUAACUCGGAAAGGUCAACUGAUACUGCGGGGCUAGAGUGCGGAAGGGGCAACUGGAAUUCUUGGUGUAGCGGUGAAAUGCGUAGAUAUCAAGAGGAACACCUGCGGCGAAGGCGGGUUGCUGGGCCGACACUGACGCUGAGGCGCGAAAGCUAGGGGAGCGAACGGG
rnacentral:rRNA from 1 species